rnacentral:misc_RNA from 1 species
ACGAGUGUUUGGGCUUCUAGCCCAGCCUCCCACCCCUUGUGCAAAAUCGAUGUUGCUUCGGCGGCCGCCGUGGGAAACCUCGGAUGCCGCCGGUAGCCAGAAUACAAAACCUUCGUUUUUAAUAGUUAAGUCUGAGUUAGUUGGCAAGAACUA